CUGCUCCUCACCCCACUGCUGCUCCUGGUGUCAUCCGUGCACAGGAAAAGCUGAUAGACUUUUCGCUGGGUUUGUUGUGAUCCAAAUUGGAAAACCCUGGUGUUGUGCAAUUUCCCAUGAAGCAGCUGAAUAAGCCAAAGAGGCAAAGUUUGUGAAUCACUGGAGCACUUGGAGAUUUUAGGGCUGGAGAUGAGGCUUGGAAAGGUUGGAGAUCUUUCCGUAAGGAAAAACACUGGCAAAACACCAGAGUUCCUGCAGAGGUGCAGCAGUGCCAGACCUCAGGGAAGGAGGAUUUGGGAGUGUUCCAGUAAAAUUGUGGAGGCAAGGAAAGACUUUUAAGGGGUAAAGACAGCGUAGAAAAAGGCGUCUAGAAAAAGAUACAACCACAACUGAGGUGGAGCAAAAAAAUUCAAUGUGUUCAAGCUGGGACAAAGCAGGACAGGAUAUUUUCUGUGCCAGAACUCUUGGAGAACUCAGAUACAGAACAACAGGUCCAGGUCCACUCCUAAAUAUUAUUUAUAAAUUGGUCAAGGCAGAAUAAUGAGGUCAGAAUUUAGCCCCUAAAUUAAAAAGAGAAGGGGUAAAAGCCAGUGUCUGACCACAAUAGA